GAGGCAGCAUUGAGGAAUAUUGGUCAAUGGGCGCAAGCCUGAACCAGCCAUGUCGCGUGCAGGAUGACGGCCCUAUGGGUUGUAAACUGCUUUUUUACGGGAAUAAACNCNNCUACGUGUAGCGAACUGAAGGUACCGUAUGAAUAAGGAUCGGCUAACUCCGUGCCAGCAGCCGCGGUAAUACGGAGGAUUCGAGCGUUAUCCGGAUUUAUUGGGUUUAAAGGGUGCGCAGGCGGAGGAUUAAGUCAGUGGUGAAAUCUCACAGCUCAACUGUGAAACUGCCAUUGAAACUGAUUUUCUUGAAUACGGUUGAGGUAGGCGGAAUACGUUAUGUAGCGGUGAAAUGCUUAGAUAUAACGUAGAACACCGAUUGCGAAGGCAGCUUACUAAGCCGUUAUUGACGCUGAGGCACGAAAGCGUGGGGAGCGAACAGGAUUAGAUACCCUGGUAGUCCACGCCGUAAACGAUGAUUACUCGUUGUGCGCGAUACAUUGUGCGCGACUGAGCGAAAGCA
rnacentral:rRNA from 1 species